ACGAACGCUGGCGGCGUGCCUAAUACAUGCAAGUAGAACGCUGAAGAGAGGAGCUUGCUCUUCUUGGAUGAGUUGCGAACGGGUGAGUAACGCGUAGGUAACCUGCCUUGUAGCGGGGGAUAACUAUUGGAAACGAUAGCUAAUACCGCAUAACAAUGGAUGACACAUGUCAUUUAUUUGAAAGGGGCAAUUGCUCCACUACAAGAUGGACCUGCGUUGUAUUAGCUAGUAGGUGAGGUAACGGCUCACCUAGGCGACGAUACAUAGCCGACCUGAGAGGGUGAUCGGCCACACUGGGACUGAGACACGGCCCAGACUCCUACGGGAGGCAGCAGUAGGGAAUCUUCGGCAAUGGGGGCAACCCUGACCGAGCAACGCCGCGUGAGUGAAGAAGGUUUUCGGAUCGUAAAGCUCUGUUGUAAGUCAAGAACGAGUGUGAGAGUGGAAAGUUCACACUGUGACGGUAGCUUACCAGAAAGGGACGGCUAACUACGUGCCAGCAGCCGCGGUAAUACGUAGGUCCCGAGCGUUGUCCGGAUUUAUUGGGCGUAAAGCGAGCGCAGGCGGUUUGAUAAGUCUGAAGUUAAAGGCUGUGGCUCAACCAUAGUUCGCUUUGGAAACUGUCAAACUUGAGUGCAGAAGGGGAGAGUGGAAUUCCAUGUGUAGCGGUGAAAUGCGUAGAUAUAUGGAGGAACACCGGUGGCGAAAGCGGCUCUCUGGUCUGUAACUGACGCUGAGGCUCGAAAGCGUGGGGAGCGAACAGGAUUAGAUACCCUGGUAGUCCACGCCGUAAACGAUGAGUGCUAGGUGUUGGAUCCUUUCCGGGAUUCAGUGCCGCAGCUAACGCAUUAAGCACUCCGCCUGGGGAGUACGACCGCAAGGUUGAAACUCAAAGGAAUUGACGGGGGCCCGCACAAGCGGUGGAGCAUGUGGUUUAAUUCGAAGCAACGCGAAGAACCUUACCAGGUCUUGACAUCCCGAUGCUAUUUCUAGAGAUAGAAAGUUACUGCGGUACAUCGGUGCCAGGUGGUGCAUGGUUGUCGUCAGCUCGUGUCGUGAGAUGUUGGGUUAAGUCCCGCAACGAGCGCAACCCCUAUUGUUAGUUGCCAUCAUUCAGUUGGGCACUCUAGCGAGACUGCCGGUAAUAAACCGGAGGAAGGUGGGGAUGACGUCAAAUCAUCAUGCCCCUUAUGACCUGGGCUACACACGUGCUACAAUGGUUGGUACAACGAGUUGCGAGUCGGUGACGGCAAGCUAAUCUCUUAAAGCCAAUCUCAGUUCGGAUUGUAGGCUGCAACUCGCCUACAUGAAGUCGGAAUCGCUAGUAAUCGCGGAUCAGCACGCCGCGGUGAAUACGUUCCCGGGCCUUGUACACACCGCCCGUCACACCACGAGAGUUUGUAACACCCGAAGUCGGUGAGGUAACCUUUUGGAGCCAGCCGCCUAAGGUGGGAUAGAUGAUUGGGGUG
rnacentral:rRNA from 1 species